UUGCCAUGUGUAAUGCCCUAAUUUUCUGGACCGAAAUGCUACACGGUGCUCAUAACCUUGCAGGACCAUAAGCUAACCCAUGAUUGAUAUUUGUACCUAUAACUGCAUAAUAUACAUAUAAAAUACAGAGACAUGAACAAAGAGGGCGUAAGGUUCAAUUUUGAAUAAUAAAAUAUCUGAAAUAAGGUGGUAUCACAGUACCAAAAUAAAAUUGAAAAUACUAAAGUCUAAAUCUGAAAACUCUAUAAUCGUCUGAAAGCCUCUAAACUGUCUGAAUAAGGAGUUGAAGGAACAUGUCUCCAACUAACUCCCUAAACUGAAAAUAAACUGAAAUACUGGAAUAAUAAAUGUAACGAUCAUGUCCUCGAAAGAUGAGGCCUCACUGUUUACUGAACUGCUACUGCUGAUCUGGAAUCUGCACCUCAGAACCUAUAGUGUAACAUAAAAAGAAAUCAUCAUAGCGCAAAUGCGUUAGUACAACUAAAGUACUGAGUAUACGUGGGGGUAGACUAAAUGCAUGAACAUGAUAAUAUGAAUGUGAGAAUACAUAUAUACAUACAUACGUAACUGCUACUGAACUCGUGGAGAUACUGACUACUUGAGUUUAAACUCUGACAACAUGAGUUUCGUGAUACUGAGAUACUGAAUGACUGAUAACAUGGAUGACUGUAUCUAAAAGUCCUAAUUCUGGGGAAAACUAUCUGAGUUCCAAACUGUAUCUGAACAUCUAAUUCUGAGGUCAGUCCUAGCUAAUGAGUGAUCUCUGAAACUGAUAAUGAGAAUAAUCGACUGAAUCUGAGAUUGAGAUCAAGCCUGUCUGCCAGGUGACCUCUAGAUCUAAUAAUAAGCAUCUGAAUAUGGGACCAAUCCUAUUUAACGGGAUAGUCCAGGAAUCAAUAAAACUAUCUGAGUUCCUUACUGAGAUCGAUGACUGUAUCUAACAGUCCUGAUUCCUGAUUUCUACUCUGAAGAUUGAUACUAAAACUGCAACUGUAAAUAUGUCUGUGGGAGGUAGUAACCUAACCGACAUGCCCCAAUACUGUACUAGUGGGGUCUAAUCUUUGCCCUGAUUGGAAGGGUGUCAAUACCGUGCCACGGGUAGAGACCUCUACUAUGGUCAAGUCUCUCUAAUGGGUGACCCUAAACAGGAAAUCAAGCUUAAGGCAAUAUAUAGUUAAGUAUAGACUUAAUCUAAUGGGUAACUCUUGUCCUGUACUGGCUACACAGUUCUGGAGUACAGGGAUUGCUGCUAACGGCUCUGCCUUUAUAAUGGGAAAAACCGCCAUCCCUGCACUCGCUCGGUGCUAGUCCCUACUCCCAACUGAAAGACUCUUAAAAGAUUAACUGCACAGAACUGACUAACUGAACUGAUUUAUAAAUUGAUUAACUGAGCUGAUAAUAUUUUCUUAGCUGAACCAAGUUGAAUUCACUGAGUUCCGUUGACUGACGAAAAAGCUAGUUGAGAUCUGAGGUCUGACUGAGAGUACUGAAACUACUGGGACUACUGAGAUUUCUGAGUUUUUCUGAGUCACGUGACUAACUGAAAUCUAUGGAGCAUAGCUUGACUGAGGAUGUCUUGAAACAUGACACUAGCUCUAGGCACACAACUAUAGUUUUCGGGUACAAGUANNNNNNNNNNNNNNNNNNNNNNNNNNNNNNNNNNNNNNNNNNNNNNNNNNNNNNNNNNNNNNNNNNNNNNNNNNNNNNNNNNNNNNNNNNNNNNNNNNNNNNNNNNNNNNNNNNNNNNNNNNNNNNNNNNNNNNNNNNNNNNNNNNNNNNNNNNNNNNNNNNNNNNNNNNNNNNNNNNNNNNNNNNNNNNNNNNNNNNNNNNNNNNNNNNNNNNNNNNNNNNNNNNNNNNNNNNNNNACAAACACCUUACAUGCACAUCUUAGGCAUAGGUGGAUUCAUCAAGAUUACAAAUAUUCAACCACCAAUUUCGCAUAUUUAUACAUUAAAUACCACCAUAUCCUCACACAAAACUACAAAGAUCCCAUCUUAGGCAUCAUCAAACUCCAACCACAUGAACAUCAACCACCACCAACAUAAAUAUCAUAAUACAUAAUUUAAAAGAUGGUUCUUAAGCUUCAUGGAUGAAAGAAGUCCAUGAAUCAACUCACACAUACCUUAGAAGGAAUAUUCUUGAUGAUUGAUGGAGGAAUUUCCUUGAAAUUGUAUCUUCAAGUUUAAUUAUGCAACCCUAGUUAUUUUUCUCUUUUAGUGCUCUUGGAUGAUGAACUUAAAAUGUUAGUAGGGUUGUAAUGUAAUUAGGAACUAUAUAUUUCGUAGCGUUAAGUUUAGGAAUGUGUAAGGAGUGUUAAAAGACUUAAUUACCCUCAAAAUAACUCAAAAUGGAGUGUUUAAGUCACUUGAAACCAUAAGAUAUAUGCGCCACAUGAUAUCGCAUAUAUUUACAUAGGCGUCGCAUAUGAUAUCGCCUAAAUUUACAUAGGCGCCGCAUAUGAUAUCGCCUAUAUCUACAUAGGCACCGCAUAUACUAUCGCCUAUAUUUACAUAGGCGCCACAUAUGUUAUCGCAUAUGCUUUCCAGUGGCCAUGUGCGAUUGAUUAGGCGACGCACUCUACUUCGCAAAGCCAUAACUCCUAGCUCGGGUGUCGGAUUUUAAUUAAAUUGGUAUCGUUAGAAAGCUAAUUCGAUUUUAUAUAAUUUGGUGGGUAGAAAUAUGAAUAAAUACCACAUUAAUAUCGAGUUAUACUCAUUCAAAUAUGACCCUUAUGAAAUCAAACACUAAAACUUGAUGGAUUCAAAAAAUCUUAGCUUAUAUUACCUUAAGUGACUCAUAUGAACAUGCUUAAUGCAUCAUAAGCUAUAUUAUCGCUAGGAUACUCAUUGUAAGUCAUGUACUCAAGUAUGAAUCACGGGAUAAGAGAUUUUAUAUGUAGGAAAAAUGGUUCAUCUCCUAUCUUAGAAACAUGCGGGGUAUUACACCAUGUGUACCUAUGGCCUUCCCAGGAAUAGGUUGUAGCUAGAUAACACAUCCAUGACCUGAAAUAAGAUAGGAAAUUCUACUGGUCCUAUCUGUAGUGUUAAGUAAAUUUCCCCAAUGACACUCCUUUGCGACCCAUCAAAGGCUCUAACCUUAACCCUACUCUCCCUUAUAUCUUCUAUAUUCACACUCAAAUCCCUUAGACUGGAGAACGGACAGAUAUUGCAACCCGAACCACCAUCGAUCAAGACCCUGUUCAUAAUCUUUUCAUGAUAUCUGACCGUAAUAUGAAGUGCUUUGUUGUGUGCAGCCACUUCUGAUGGUAACUCAUCAUCAUGGAAAGAGACCUUAUUUGCCUCUACCACUCGCUCGAUUGUUGCGGGCAAAGUCUCACUAGUUGUCUCCUUUGGUUUGUUAAUCCCAGAUAACACUUUUAUCAAAGCAUUUCUAUGGGAUUCAAAACUCAUAAUCAAGGACAUGACAGAUAUAUGGGUCGGUCUCUUCUUGAGUUGAUCUUCGAUUGAAUAGUCCUUGGGAUGCAUUUUUUUCCAAAAUUCUACAGCUUUGGCAUUUGUGAUAUUUAUCCUUGGGUUCUGAUCUUUCCCGAGAACUCUACGAUUUGGUUCUUCUGGUGUAUAACACCUUCCCGACUUGGUCAUCCCUUGAGCUACAGCAACGUCUAUCAUUUUUCCCUUGGUUUCAGCUCGAUAGUCCUAUGGGACUGCCUUGGUCUCAUAGUCAGUCCUCCCAGUGGCUGAUGUGGUUACUACAACUCUCGACAGGUAUGUCUGAAUAGUUAUAGGUUCUCUCAACUGAAUUGUGAUAAAUGGUUGUGAUGAGGAUGCAGUAGCGAUUUCCUCUGCGCUCAAUGUAGGCAUAAUAGUUUCUUCCAAAUCAUACUCCUCCUCUAGAGUAAUCAUGUUGACUUCCUAAUUUCUAUGAUUUGGCAGGGGGUUAUUGUUCACAUUGGAAUCUGCGGCGGUGCAUUUGAUUAGACCCCUCCUUAUCAGAGACUCAAUUUGAUUCUUCAAGCUGUAAUAGUCUUUUGUGUCGUGCCCUUGGACUCUCGAGUGAUAGGCGCACCGCUUUCUACUGUCAAAGUUUUAAGAGGUCAGAUCAGGGGCCUUUCCCUCAAUUGGAUGCAAUAAACUGGCAUCCCUCAACCUUUUAAAUAACUGGGUUAAAGGUUCUGUAAUCGGUGUGUAGGUGCAGGUAUUUCUGGCUUUAAAGUUUGGACGUGGUUUGGGUGUAUAGGCUGGUCUAUUUUGGUGAGAUAGAGCUUGGACAGGGGCGUAUGGUCUUGGUGGAUUCUAGUAUGUUGGAUCUCGAGGUGGAUUAUAAUGCGGUUGAGUAUUGUAUACUGGGAUGUGUGCAAUAAUUUAGGGGUUGUUAGGGUAACGGUAAGAAGGAUCUCCAAGUUGGUAAUAUGGUAUGGCAGUUGAAACAUCCUUCCUCUUCUUCUUAUUGCCAUUAAUGGAACCAAUUUGUAUGGCCUUACUCGCAGCUUGUAGUGCAGCCAUAGAUUGGAUCUUUCCCGACUUGAUGCCUUUUUCUAUGAAAUCUCCCAUUUUGACUAAUUCCGCGAACCUUUGGCCUAUUAUCGACAUCAUCUUGUCAAAGUAAACUCCCUCUUAAGCUCAGAUAAAAUACUUGGAGAGUUCACUUUCAUCUAGUGGAGGCUGGAUCCUAGCAGCCUCGGUUCUCCAAUGCCAUGCGUAUUCUUGAAAUGAUUCUGAUAGUUUCUUCUGUAUGUUGACCGAUGAAAACCUGUCUGGGGCAAUCUCAGUGUUGAACCUGAAGUGACUCAUGAAGUAUUCAUCCAUUUCCCUCCAAUCACACCACUUACGGGGGUCUUGUCGGGUAUACCAAGUCAAACCUUCUCCCGAAAAACUUCAAAUAAAUAACUUCAUCCUUAACUUCUCGUUCCUUCCUACACCAACCAACUUAUCGCAGUAGGCUCUCAGGUGCGCAUGCGGGUCACCUUUUCCGUCAAACUCAUCGAACUUUGGUGGUUUGUAUCCCACUGGCAUGUCAAUGUCUGGAUGAAUGCAUAAGUCAUCGUAGUCCAAGCUUCAGCCCCUCUGGUAACUUGCAUAUUUCUAAAUGCCCUCUUUAAACUUUUGAGUUGGGCUGCUAUCGACCCUUCUUCACUUGAUUGGACAUUUUUUCCUAACCCCGCAUACCGAUCAGCCUCAUAUAGAACCUUAAAAGUCAUAGAUGUUGCGAAGGCAAGAGCUUCGGUAACAUAUACAAGUGGCACAGGUAUCUCACAAGUAACAUGUGCCUCAGGUAUGUGCUGCAUCUCUGGAUGGAUCAAACAGUAAAGAUGUGAGUAGGAAAUAGAUAACCAGGUGUCAUUCCGACAGUGGGUUGGAAAGAAGGCGGUUCUUGAGUCUGGGGUAUACUUGCUUGGUUCAUCCACUGGGAUCAUCGCGGCCUUGUCUCUGUUAGUCAUUUUGUCUUUUGAUUGAAGGUUGUAUUGGGCUUCCGCCAGUUUUCCAGUCGACACAAAUUAAGUAUUUUUUUCGGGGAUUAAUAAACAAAAGAAAGGAAGAAAAGAAAAAGUAAAAUGAAACUAUGUUAGUUUGGGCAAUAAUGAAAAUGUAACAAGUAAGUAACACAUAUAUACACCAAGUUGGUGACAUCCAAAUGUGUCCUAAUAUAGAGCCUCUUUUUUGCCAGAGGUAGGCCUAUGUUUCAAUCAAGUUGAUCAUAAACGGUCUAUUUAAACACAUUUGGAUUUGAGAAUAAUCACAACUUUCAUUGAAAAAUGGUGUUUCAAAAGGUUACAUCAAAAUAGAUCAACGACAGCUUAAAAGAAAGUGAAAGGAUGGCCGUAAGGGCUUACAAUAGGGUGGGCCAUGUGGCUCAUUUUAGGGAAUAUAAAAGUACAAUAGGACAAGAAGAACAAGGUCAGGUGGCAUCAUCAUUAUCAUCUCUACCUUCAUCAAAAUAGGAUUUUGGAUGGUACUCCGAGGAUCCUUCUAAGUCAUGAUCAGUGCCGAGUCUACAUUCAUCACCCCUCCGUCUUUGGGAUAAUAAAUAUUGGAGCCUAUCUCCAAUCCUUCCUGAGGGUCUUCUUCCAUCCAUUCUGGGUUUUCCUUAGGGUCUUCUUCAGGGUCUUCUUCUUCUUUCUCCUCCUCUGGGUUUUUCUCUGGAUCUUCUUCAGGAUCUUCCUCGAUCACUAGAAUUAGAUAAUCAAUAGAACCUAGGAUUAUUUGGUUAUACAUGGGUGUAGUGAGAUCCAUGUGGGGAGGCACCUCUCUCUUAACCCAUUGGACCCACCAAGGAUCCGUGAGUCCUCAAAAACCAUCUUCGUUCGGUCUGGCUAUGUGACUCAUGGUGGUGCGCCACACAUAAUAUUCUGGUGUGCACCAUUUCUCUUCUUUUAUCUUCAAAUAACCAUGUAAUCCCACUCUAUUUCCAGGUUCGCCACUCGUGCAGCUGGAAUCAAAGUACCAUAACUGUCUUCAUGAAGUACCAUUGUGGACCUUGGAUAGAAUCCCCAGUAAGAUUGGUUAAAAACUCGCGUCACUCCUCCUCCCCAGUUGGCGCGAUCCAAUACCUUAAGCAAUCCUCAUGUCUUUGGAUCCGACUGUGUGCAUCGAUUGUAUAGUCCAUCUGUGGAAGGCCACGAUAGAAGUGUUCUAUCACCUAGAUUUGUAACAGUAGGUUGCAACCCCCAAAGAAGUCAUGUCCCCUAGAGCAGGCGGAUAAUGACCGAAAUACCUCUGCAAUUAUCACGUGCACUAAAGUGAGCCUCUGUGGAUCUGCAAAGACAUUCAUUACCAUCGGCAUAAUAUUAAUGUCAACAUAAUGUCAUCUCAUUGGGAAAAUCAUGAUUCCCAAAAAUGCCAAGACGAAGACCCUUGGUCACAUAUGCACCCAUUGUCUGCGGGUACAAACAAACGCAUUCUUGUGCUCGUCAUAAUUCCCCAUGCGGCUGAAUCUUCUGAAAAGGUAAUCCAGUUUUACCUUUCAAUCCACCACGUUCCUUAGUGAAUAAAAUAUAUCCAAUCCCAAAAGCCUCAAGAAAUCCUCCUUUCUUACAGGUGACGGGAGUACCGACAGCUUCCCUUAAAGCGGCAGCUCAGCAAAUUCACUGACUUCCUCCAGGGUAGGGGUGAUCUCGAAGUCCAAUAACCUGAAGGUCCCUGUGUUUGGGUCCCAGAACUCCUUUAAUAGUGUAAUGAGGGUCUUAUUGGCUCGAACCCUCAUUAAUGACAAUAGAUCCCCUAAAUGUUCCCGAACUUCUGCACUAUGUGCCACAUAGAUAUUUCUCCACCAAUUCUGUAGGCUAUCAGGGGCAGAGAUGACCAUUUGGAUAUUUGGAAAAUUUUGAUUGAUAUUCAUCUGGCAGGAAAAAGAAGAAGGUAUAGUAAGUCGUUUAUCUCAAAUUCAUCAUGUGUUUUAGUUUAGAUCGUCAACAUCAAUCAUCACAAUAAAAUAUGUCGACAGGUUGGUAACCUUUGAUAAAAGGGUGGUUUCCUAAUUGCGAUAACGAUGCCUUGGACCAUCAUGCCUAAGGUUUAUGCGACAUAACCUAUUUCUAGAGUAAGAUUUUUCCUAAAUGUUUGAGAGUGGGACUGAAUAGCUUCGAGAAAAUGCACUAACCUAAUUGCACCUACUCUGAAACUAAGGAAUCCAAAGAAGGUUUGGAGGAUUGUAGAUACACCCCCCUCAUGAACCACAGUGUGUGAAUUGUGUACGGCCAAGACUCGAUAGGAAUAAUACAGAUGAUAAAACGAUAACAAGCAGUGUUAUACAAACAAAUAAGGAACGCAUGUUCGGAUUUGGCUUGCGUCCUUUCAUAGAAAGCAUGAUAAAAAAAAUAAGCAAGCAAAUAACACAAUAAAGCACGAAAUUCUAAACUAAGCAUGUUAAGGUUAAAACCUAAGUUCAAAGAUCCCCAACAGAGUCGCCAUUCUGUCGAACCCUAUUUCAAACCGGUCGAAACAGCGCAUAACGUAUGGUGGUAUGUCGUGACUCUUGGAAUUAAAAAAUUUAUUUUUUAAAGUCACCACCUAACUUUUUAGGAAAAUUAGGAAAAAGCCAUUUUAUUGUAAAACAUUGUCUAGGUUUUUAAAAAUAUUUAGAGAUUCUGAGUAAGGGUCUUGGUUACUCGAGGGGAAGGUGUUAGGCACGCCUCAAGGCCUAUCCGAAGAUAGUCCUUACGCUUAGUUUAGAAAAAUAUUUACAAAAAUCUUUUAAUCUAUUAUUUGCUUAAAACGGUGAUGAGAAAUUUUGUUAUUACUAACUUAGAAGAAAAUUCUAGGUAUAGUAAACAAGACACUACCAUGUAUAAGGAAAUAAUGUAAUUAUUGUGAAAAUAUGCAUGCAUUUUUUUUUUAAAUAUGAAAAGAAUGAUAACAUAAUUUCUAUAUGUUAGAGAGUUUAAAGUCGUAUAGUUUUGUAAGAGAAUUAAAAAAGGUAUGUGAAUUAAAAUACUUAACUAGAAUUAUUUACAGAAUAGGUAAUUAUAUUGUAGCGUGAGAAUUUACUUACCGAAUGUAUUAGUGCGAAAAAUAGGUGAUAGAUUGUGAACAUAACAACAACAACAACAACAACAACAACAAUAAUAUAAUAAUAAUAAUAAUAGUGGUAAUAAUGGUAAUAAUAGUAAGAAUAACGAUAGCAACUAAUAGUAAUAAUGAUGGUAAUGGCAGUGAUAAAAUAAAUAAAUAUUAGUGAUAAGUAUAGUACUAAUAAGGAUGAAAAUAAUUGUCAUAAUAGUAGGAAAAUAAUAAGAUAUACCUCAUAUAUGGUAGCGUAACACAUUUAUACCUUGUGUUUCUAACCCUUUGAAAUCUGAAAACUCGAAAUGAAUGUUGAAAAAUAAAGCAUUUGAUAUACAAAACGAAUGUUGAAAAUAAAGCUUCGAUAUAAUAUUGAGACAAAGAUGUUCAUUUUGCGACAAGUACCUUUACAAAUUUAGUUCUCAACAAACAACAUCAAAGCCCAACUAAGUUGCUUUUCCUUUACAAAGGUACUUUAACUCUUGAAAACUACGUUGUUAUGCUUUAGAGAACUACUUUCAAACUCUAGAAAAGUAAAAAAUAAAACUGCGUUCUUAGCGUCAAAAUUAACCACUACCUAUUUUUAAAAUGUUUCCUCACUUGACAAGAAAAAGAGACAACAUUUUGACAUUUAAUAAUAUACGCGUUGAGUUCAAAAAAGAAAUAGCUUGUUUUUCCCAUAAAAAAUCUGUAUUUUUUACCCUUGAAUUGUUGUAAACUUUGGCCUCAAAUAUGUGGUAUUAGCUACUGCUGAAAUUGCAUCUUGAUACGCAUAAAAAUCUGCACUUACAUACUAAAAUGACUACACCUUAAAGCCUAGGAAAACAGUAUUUUUUAUCUUAAAAAUCUGCACGCAUGCAUAAAAAAAAAAAACUACAGUUUUUACACUUUUUAAGAGACGUGUUUUAUACUAAAACUAGCAUUUUAGGUAGAAAUAGCUAAUGAAAUCAAUCCUAGACAAUUAGAGCUAAACAAAAUCAAAUGAAUACAAGGUUCAUUCAACACUGAACAAUUCAUACCAAGUGAAUAUUCGAGUAAAUACAGAGUUAGCAAAGUAGAUAACAAUGAUAAGAAAUAUAGAGAGAGCAAAGGUUAGAAACGGCCAAGUUCCUUAAGGAGGGACCAAUCCCUAACGGCGUAGACUCUGACCCGAUUAGUCGGGUCGAGACGAGUCCCGUGGCGGAACUCCCAACUCCCGAAUUUACAUGCAGCAACAAAAUAUAAAGAUUAGAAAAUUCGUUUGAAGGAUUAAUCAAAAUAUGAAUCGCAUAGAUAAUACCAUCCCGGUCGAAGCCUAUCUCAAGAGAAAAUUGAGGGCUUAAGUUGCAUACACGUACAAAUCCAUUUCAGAAUGCAUAAUAAAUGGUAACCAAUAAUUUGACUUGCACUAAGACAACAUCAUAUGACUCUUGAAAAAGAAAAUGUUGAUACUUUGAUCAAACAAAUGAUGAAAAAAAAUUCAAUAUCUUGAUAAACAUGAAUGCAUCCAAAUGAACAGAAGAAACCAACAUUUCUUUCAACCCAAUUGAUGCUAAUCUUAUUGGUAUUAUGAUGACUAUUAUUUCUAUACUAUCACCUAAUACCUCUUGUUAUUACACCCGAAGAGAAAUCAAUAUUUUAAUCAUUAAAGAAUCAAAAUGUGCACACAUGCGAUCUUUUGUUUUAGAUGAAGCCUAAUUAUAGGACAUAUGUUUGAGAUGAAUUAAACACGGUCAUACCUUAUUUUCGGAAUACUACUCAAGAACAAAAAAGUCAAUAAACAUGCUCACAAACCCAUUUAUUCGCACAAGGGAAUUUUCAAAAUCAAAAUGGGGACGGGAUUCAAGAAGGCACACGGUCAAUGAACUUAUAUAUUCAUAUGAAAUAAUUUCAAAAACUCACAAUUUUUAUUUCCACUGUUUCAUUUUCCAAUCCACAAAUGAGACAAAGUUUAAGAGAACUACAAAUUACGUAGAGCCGAAAUAAGAUUAGUAAUGAAAUUUAAGCAAAACAAGGGGGAAUUCCCACUUAGGAUGCAAAAUAACCUCUCUUGAAACUAAUGGGUACUUCAUGGAUUAGAAGAGGCGAAAAUAUAUAUUGAUUUUCAGAAAAUGAACAACGACAAUAUCGUACGUACACCAUAUACUUGCGAAUCCACUUUUCCUUUAAGAGUGCAACUAUUAUCAACUCUUUGCUUUAAUUUUGCCAGUAAAACCAAGUCAAAGAAAGAAAAGAAAAAAUACAUGGCAGUGAUGUUAUAACCAAAACUGACGUUCUCUCUUUAUUCUAGUCAUCACCAAAAGGAAUGUUACUAAAAUUUUCGAGCUGGGUUUUCCAUUUUUCUCUAGUAGUUAAUUUUAUCACACAAUAAACUAAUUAUAGACCCGAAAAUGCCAUGUUCAUACUUACAAACCCACGCAGAUAAAUCUAUCAACAUUCACCAAAAAAAAAUUCUCAAACAACCAUGACAACAAAAUAGGAUAAACACGUACACUUGUAUAAUCUAUAAAUCCGCGCGUUCAAACGCCGAAUGAUCUUUUUGAUUAAAAGAAAAUACGUCUUUUACUUGCAGGAUCAGGCUAACAACAAACCCACAACUCGAAAUCAAAAUGAAUCUCGCAUUCAACAGACAAUAAAAAAAAUGACGAAGAGAAGAAGUCAACAAAGAAACGACAAGGGGUGAAUUUCGCACCUUUUGGGGUGCAGCAAACUCGGGCUUUUAACGUCAAGGGGUUUCCAACGAUUAAACUCCAACCCGAAGAAUACUUACUCUAGAACCAAAAUCAAAAUGAGUGACGGGGAGUGACCAUCUCGGAAAACCACUCUAAAACGGAAGCGAGAACCCUCAGAACUCUUUUUUCUUCUAAAUUUCAAACCAAUUUCAAACCCCUUCUAUCUCAGAAACCUCUUUCGAAUUUCCCCUAAAGACAAAUAAAAAAUCCUUUUUUUCACUGAUUUUUGUUGCUCUCUCAAUCUUGAAUCCUUUUUUCAUUUUUUUUGCUCCUGUUAAACUCCCUUUUUUUUUCUUUUUUCCUCCUGUUCAAUUCUAAUUUUCUCCCCCCUUUUAUAGGCCAAAUCUGGACUUGAAAGUCCAGAUUUGAAGCCAAAAAUAAGAGAAAACUCAAGAAAUGAGGUAGGAUUUGAGUUUCAAAUCCCAAUCCCCAACUUUUGAAAGCCAUUUUCAGAGCCAUAAUGGCGGAUUUGAAACUAAGAUAGGUAAUAUACAACAAUUCAGGUCUGUCUCUUUCUGAUUUUGUGAAUUCACGGGUUGAGAGGGAUAAAAGUGGUGAAAGGGGUGGCAGGCGGCUAGAUUUUAGGGAGGAUUAGGGGUUUCCCGUUUGGUGGAGAUGAAAGAGAAGGUGAGAAUGGGAGAAGGGAGAAAGCCGUGUAAUUUUAUUCUGUUUUUGGAAGAAUUGAUGUUGAUGGAACAUUGAUCCUUGGCAAAAGGAGAGGCGUAUAUUUGCCUAGGAAGGUGAAGACAGUU
rnacentral:lncRNA from 1 species